UGGGGAAUAUUGCACAAUGGGCGCAAGCCUGAUGCAGCCAUGCCGCGUGUAUGAAGAAGGCCUUCGGGUUGUAAAGUACUUUCAGUCGGGAGGAAGGUGGUAAGGUUAAUAACCUUAUCAAUUGACGUUACCGACAGAAGAAGCACCGGCUAACUCCGUGCCAGCAGCCGCGGUAAUACGGAGGGUGCAAGCGUUAAUCGGAAUUACUGGGCGUAAAGCGCACGCAGGCGGUUGAUUGAGUCAGAUGUGAAAUCCCCGGGCUUAACCCGGGAAUUGCAUCUGAUACUGGUCAGCUAGAGUCUUGUAGAGGGGGGUAGAAUUCCAUGUGCAGCGGUGAAAUGCGUAGAGAUGUGGAGGAAUACCGGUGGCGAAGGCGGCCCCCUGGACAAAGACUGACGCUCAGGUGCGAAAGCGUGGGGAGCAAACAGG
rnacentral:rRNA from 1 species